rnacentral:lncRNA from 1 species
AAAAACUCUGUAAGAGAGCAGAAAUAAGAAUCUAUGACACAGAUGCCCUGCAGAAGGCAAGAGCUAAGCCUGAGUUUAAUCUUGGCCAGUGCUGUUGUUGGGGUAUUUUUUUUUUUUUUCUUUUUAGGCUUGUACCUGUGGCAUAUGGGAGUUUCCUGGCUAGGGGUGGAAUUGGAGCUGCAACUGCUGGCCUAUACCACAGCCACAGCAAUGUGGGACCGGGGAUCCGAGCCUCGUCUGCAAUCUACACCACAGCUCACAGCAAUGUUGGAUUCUAAACCCACUGUGUAAGGCCAGGGAUCAAACACACAUCCUCAUGGAUACCAGUCGGGUUCAUAACCCACUGAGCCACAACAGGAACUCUUGGGAUUUUUCCUGUGGCCACAUCGGAGGCAUAUGGAAGUUCCUGGGCCAGAGAUUGAAUCUGAGCUGCAGCUGUGGCCUAUGCUAUAGCUGUGGCAAUGCUAGAUCCUUUAAACCACUGUAAUAGGCUGGAGAUCAAACCCGCUGUGCCACAGCAAUAACUCGUAGUGUUGGGGUCUUAACCCCUGUCUCCAUUACUCCCUCUCUUUCUAUUACAUCAUAUUUUCUUUGACUAUAUAUUUUACACUUUAUUAUGUCUUGGCUUUUAAAUUUUAAACUGCCAAAUAACUGCUAUUUGCUUUGUGAUGAACAUUUUAGUUUUAUUUUGCCUUCAUUAUGUUGCUAUCUAAUAUAUUACAGCAAAGUACAUAUAUUGUAAGUGUCGAGCUUGAUUAAUUUUUCCUGAAAUGAAUAUACCCAUGUGUUCAGUAUUCAGGUUGAGAAACAGAAAAAUUCCAGCAUAUAAAGAAAUCCACUUUAUUUUCCCUUGCAGCCCUUCUAUAUUCACAACAAGGGUAAUCAUAUCUUGACUUCCAACAGCAAUAAUGAGUUUUAUCAGUUCUUAGAUUUUAUGUUAAUGGAAUUCUAUUAUACGUGACUUUUUGGGUAUCUGGCUGCUUUUGUUGUAUGUUUUGUGAGAUUCAUCUUAUUGUUGCAUGUAGCUGUUGAUUGCUUUAUAGCAUUGAUUGUGUGCGACUAGACCACAACGUAUUCAGGCUACUGUUGUUAGGCUUUUGGCUAGUUUGAAUAUGGGGCUGUGAUGCAUGUGUUGUUAUUGGUCUAGUCAAUGUCUUUUGGUGAAUAAGUAUUUUAAUGUCGAACAUAUGUUUAGGAGGGGAGUUGCUGAGUUAUUUUUUAACAAAAAAGUUUUAGUAGGGAUUCUCAGUCAUUGGCCCAUUCAACAAAUAUCUCUGAAGAUUUUUCAAAACAUCUAUGCCUAAAUUCUACCUUAGGAAUUUAGAUUCAAGUCUUUUGGAGUGAGGCCAAAUUUUGCUCAUUAAAACAAAAACCAGGGAGUUCUCUUGGGGCACAGCAGGUUGAAGACUGGGUGUUGUUGCUGUAGCGCUUGAGUCAUGGCUGUGGUGCAGAUUCGAUUCCUGGCCUGGGAACUUUCCAUAUGCUGUGAGCACAGCCAAAACAACAACCCCCCCCCCCCAAAAAAAAAAAAAACUCCAUAGAAAUAUACUUGUGCAGCUGACGUUGAGAAUCACUGACCUUUUUUUGAAUGACAGAACAAUGUUCAUGGGUUAAGGAUCUGGUGUUUCCACAAGCUGUGGCACAGGUUGCAGAUGCGGCUCUUUCAAUCCCCUAGCCUGGGAACUUGCUUGUGCUGCAGAUGCAGCCUUAAAAAAAAAAAAAAAAAUCAUUUCUCAGCUCAAGCUCCCAACAAAGACUUGCUAUUUUUUUUUAAAUUAACAUUUUAAAUGUUGAGAUAACUGUGGAUUCACAUGCAGUUGUAAGAGUAUCCUUAGCUUCCUCUAAUGGGAACAUCUCACUAGACAAUCGUACAAUAUUAGGAUGAGGAUAUUGACAUUGGCACAGGAAAGAUACAGAAUAUUUCCAUCACCACAAGGCUCCUGAUACUAUCCUUUUAUAGCCACAUGCACUUCCUACUGUCUCCACUCCUUCUUUAGCCCUUGGCAACCACUAAUCUGUUCUCCAUUAUUAUAAUUUUGUCAUUUCAAGAAUGGUGUGCAAAUGGAAUCAUGCAGCAUGUAAGCUUCUGAAAUUUGCUUUUUCUCUCAGCGUGAUUAUCCAGAGAGAGAGAUCCAGGGUUUUGUAUAUUAACAGUUUGUUCCUUUCUAUUGCUGAGUAUGUUUAACUCUGCAGUUGGUUUAACCAUGUACUUGAAGAACAUCUGGGUUGUUUCCACUUUGCUCUUACAAAUAAAGUCUUUUGUAAAAUUUGUGUACAGGUAUUUGUGUGAACAUAAAUGUCAUUUAUCUGGGAUCAAUGCUCAGUAAUGCAGUUGCUGGGUUGGAAAGUGAUGGCAUGUUUUUAAAAUUUUUCCAUUUUGUUACAACAUUACAGAUGCAUUGCCCUCUGAAACAUCACAUUUAAGAAGGGGACAAAUCCUUUAAAUCCCAAUGAUUAUUAAUGAAAAUGACAAAACUUUGUUUUCUCUAAACAUUGAUGAAAAGUGACAUGUGUCUGGUUAUUCUUGUACAAGAAGGCCUGAUGUGUAGCCAAGAUGAUUUCACAUUUACUUUUUUUAUGGUCUAAAGGAGCUGUAGUAUUUUACAUUCACACUAGUUAGGCAUGAGUGAUUCGGGUUCUUCAUAUCCUUGCCAGCACUUUGUGCUGUCACUUUUUAUUUUUAGCUAUUGCGACAGGUGUGUAGUGAUAGCUCAUUGUGCUUUUAAUUUCUAGUUCCCUAAUGGCUAAUGAUAGUGAACAUCUUCUCAUGUACUUCUUGGCCAACUGUAUGUUCUUGUCAGUGAAAUAUCCGUUCAUGUCUUUUGCCCAUUUUUAAAUGGAAUUCUUGUUGAGUUCUGAGAAUUCUUUAUACAUCAAGAUAUGUUCCUUUGUCUUAUAUGUGGCUUGCAAAUACUUUUUCAUAUUACAUAGCUUUUUUUUGUUUGUUUGUUUUUGUCUUUUUAGGGCCCUGUGGCAUAUGGAGGCUCCCAGGCUAGGGGUUGAGUUAGAGCAGUAGCUCCUGGCCUAUACCCAAGCCACAGCAAUACGGGAGCCAAGCUGCCUCUGCGACCUACACCAUAGCUCGUAUCAGCGCCGGCUCCUUAACCCACUGAGGAAGGUCAGGGAUUGAACUCGUGUCCUCAUAGAUACUAGUCUGUCUUUUCAUGUUCCUGAUAAAUCUUUAACAGAGAAAAAUUUUUGAUUUUAAUGAGAUCACAUUUAUAAAGUUUUCCUUUCAUGGAUUGUGAUUUUUGUGUCAAAUUUAAAAACUCUUUACCUAUCUCUAGACUCUCAAAAUUUUCUCCUAUAUUUCUGUUGGUUUUAUAGUUCUGCAGCUUACAUUUGUCUGUAAUUAAUUUUGAGUAAUUCUUGUAAAGUUAUUAGAUUAGGUAGAGUUUCAUUUUUUGCUCUAUAGCUGCCUAGUUGCUCUAGUACUGUUGGUUGAAAAGGCUGUUUUAUUCACUGAAAUAGUUUGCAUCUUUGUAGGAUAAGUCGGGCAUAUUUGUAUGGGAUUACCUUUGAAUCUUUCUGUUUUGUUAUCUAUGUGUCAAUCCUUCUGCCAACAAUAGUCAUGAUUACUCUCUCUAUAUAUAAAAUAUCUCUUGAAAUUGAGUAAACUGAUUCCUAUUUUAUUAUUAUUUUUUUAAAUUACAGCUAUUCUAGAUUCUUUGCUUUCCCAUAUAAAUUUUCAAAUAGUUUUGCCUAUAUCUAUAAAAUUAUUGGAGUUCCUGUUAUGGCUCAGCACAUUACAAACCUGACUGAUAUCCAUGAAAAUGCAGGUUCAAUCCCUGGCCUAGCUCAGUGGGUUGAGGAUCUGGUGUAGCCUGCAGAUGUGACUUGGAUCCCACAUUGCUAUGACUGUGGUAUAGGCUGGCAGCUGCAGCUCUGAUUCAACCCCUGGCCUGGAACCUUCCAUAUGCUGCAGUUGUAACCCUAAAAAACAAACGAAACAAACAAACAAAAAAUUUAAUUUUGAUAGGAACUGUCUUAACUCAAUUUGCAUAUCAAUUUAGGGAGAAUUGACAUCUUAAAUAUGUAGACUCUUCCAAUCCAUGAAUAUGGUAUAUCUCUUUAAUUUUUUUUUUAGGUCUUUUAUUUUUUUCAUCAGCACUUUAGAGUUUAGCAUUACAAGUCUUGUUUGUAUUUUGUUAGAUUUAUAUAUAAUUACUUUAUAUUUUUUGAAUGGCUGUAAAUGAUACUGCAUUUUAAAAUUUGGUGUCCUUUAUUCAUUGAUAGUAUAUAAAAUAAAAUUGAUUUUUGCAUCUUUACUUUAUAUCCGUGACCUUGCUAAAUUCAUUUCUUAUACUUCUGAGUGGUUUUUGGAGACUCAUUGGAAGUUUCUGCAUAGACAAUCAUGUCAUUUGCAAAUUGGGACAGUUUUCUUUCUUCCUAUCCAAUCUGUACAUCUUUUGUUUCUUGUCUUAUUGCACUGGGUAGAUCUUCUAACACUAUGUUAACUUAGAAUGGUAGAAGUGCCUUAAUCUUUGCUUUAAUCCUGUUUUCACCAUGAAGUAUAUUAGCUGUGGGUGGUCUAUAGACGCUUUUUAUAAAGUUGAGGAAAUUUCCCUGCAUUCCUGUUUCUUGAGUGUUUUAAAAUCAUGAAUGGAUGUUGAAGUUUGUCAAAUGCCUUUUCUGCAUCCAUUGGUCUGAUCUCAUGACUUUCCUGCUUUAGCCUAUUAAGAUAAAUAAAAUUGACUUUUUUUCUAACUUGAAAUCAGUCAAGUAUCCCUGAAAUAAUCUCCACUGGCAAUAGUGUUUAAAUUCUUUUGAUGUUAAAGACUAUUUAUAUUCUUUUUAUGUGCUCCUAUUUGUUAUCUUUGGUUAAGAAUUUUUGUGUCAUAUUGAUGAGAGAUAUUGACCUACAGUUUUUUGUACUGUUUGUGUGUGGUUUGGGUAUUGGGGUGAUACUGGUUUUAUAAAACAUGGGAAAUGUUUUCCUCUUCUGUUUUCUGUAAUAGAUUAUAUAAUGAUGUUAAUUAUUUCACUAUAUGGUAAAGGUUUGCUGUGAACUCACCUGGGGCUAAGAUUCAUUUUUUGAGGAGUUUUAAAAUUAAUAAUUCAAUUUACUUAAUAGCUAUAGGGCUAUAAAAUUAUCUAUUUGAUAUUGGGUGGGUUGUGGUAGUUUGUGUUUUUCAAGGAAUUGGUGUAUUUCAACUAAAUUGUAAAAUUUAUGUGUGUAGAAUUAUUCAUGAUAGUUACUUUUUUUUUCAAUGAUUUUUAUUUUUUCCAUUAGAGUUGGUUUACAGUGUUCUGUCAAUUUUUUUUUUUUUGUCUUUUCUAGGGCUACCCCUGUGACAUAUGAAGGUUCCCAGGCCAGGGAUCCAAUCGGAGCUGUAGCCGCCGGCCUAUGCCAGAGCCACAGCAAUGAGGGAUCUGAGCCGCAUCUGAGACCUACACCACAGCUCAUGGCAAUGCCGGAUCCUUAACCCGCUGAGAGAGGCCAGGGAUUGAACCUGCAACCUCAUGGUUCCUAGUCAGAUUUGUUAACCACUGUGCCAUGACGGGAACUCCUGUUCUGUCAAUUUGCUACUGUACAGUAAAGUGAUCCAGGCACACAUACAUAAAACUUAUUCUUUUGAUGCCUACAAAGUUUGGGUUUCAUCCUAGGUUUUACUCCUGCUGUUGGUAAUUUAUCUUUUCUCUACCUCUUUUUUUUCAGUCUUGCUAGAGAUCUGUUGGGUUUUUUUUUCUUCUUUUCAAAGAACUUUCUGUUUUUUUUUGUUGGUUAUUGUUUUUGUUUUUUUUUUUUUUUUUUUUUUUUUUUUUGUCUUUUUAUGGCUGCACCUGCAGCAUGUGGAGGUUCCCCAUCUAGGGAUCCAAUCUGAGCUGUAGCCACUGGCCUACACCACAACCACAGCAACAGGGGAUCUGAGCCGUGUCGUCUGCGACCUACACCACAGCUCAUGGCAAUGACAGAUCCUUAACCCACUGAUCAAGGCCAAGGAUCGAACCUGAAUCCUCAUGGAUACUAGUCGGGUUCAUUAACUGCUAAGCCAUGAUGGGAACUCCUAUUUUUUUUUCUGUUCAUUUUCCUUGAUUUCUUUUCUUAUUUCAUUCCUUGCAUGAGGUUUAUUUUGCUUUUCUUUGCUUCGUUUAUUGAUUUGAGACUUUUCCUUAUUUCUAAUGUAUGCCUUUAAUGCUGUACAUUUUCUUUCUAGAGCUGUUUUCUCUGCAUCCCACAUUUUUUUUUUUGUCUUUUUAUAGCUGCACCCAGGGAAUAUGGGGUUUCCCAGGCUAGGGGUCGAAUUGGGACUGUAGCCACUGGCCUAUACCAGAGCCAC